GGAGUCUUUUUUUUUCUAUCUUGGAUAUUCUUGCGUCACUGAACUGAAACUGUAGCAAAAACAGAUACUAGAUGAAGCAAAUGAACGAACUCCCAAUCCUACAUGUGUUCCUAAGGCUCUGUCUUUUGGCUUCCUUUCUCUGAUUACAACGUGUCAGGAUAAGCACUUUGAAGGAAAAGCUAGACUUCAUCCAAUCGUCAAUAGACAGCCCUACUGGCUGCAGUUUCCAUGACGGAAAAAUGAUACACAGGAGAAGAGAGAAAGAUGAUCUAGAGCCUUUUGAUCGGCCAAAAUUACAAGUUGUAAUAGAGUUCAAAAGGAAAAAGAUGAUUUGGACCAUGAAGUGACUUCCCUCCAUUCAGAAUUGUUUCAAGCUAAAUUUACCUCUCAAACAGCUUGAAAAAGCAAACAUCAAGCUUCAGUCAAAACUGUCAGCUGGCAGAACAGGUGUAAAUAUGAUACAGUCCGCAUGGCAAGGAGCUGAGGGAGCCAUCUUGGAAGCAGCUCCUCCAGCCUCCAGCUGAGGGCGGCCCCUGCCGCCAGCUCACAUCCUCCCUGCAACCUCCUGAGAGACUCUGAGCCACUCAGCUACAUGGUCUGAAAUUCUUCAACUGUGCAGCAAUAAAUGUGUGUUGGUUUAAG
rnacentral:lncRNA from 1 species